rnacentral:rRNA from 10 species
CGACGUUGAUAGGCCGGGUGUGUAAGCGCAGCGAUGCGUUGAGCUAACCGGUACUAAUGAACCGUGAGGCUUAACCUUACAACGCCGAAG